GAACGCACAUUGCGCCCUUUGGUAUUCCGAAGGGCAUGCCUGUUCGAGCGUCAUUUCACCACUCAAGCCUGGCUUGGUAUUGGGCGCCGCGGUCAAUCCGCGCGCCUCAAAGUCUCCGGCUGAGCUGUCCGUCUCUAAGCGUUGUGAUUUCAUUAAUCGCUUCGGAGUGCGGGCGGCCGCGGCCGUUAAAUCUUUCACAAGGUUGACCUCGGAUCAGGUAGGGAUACCCGCUGAACUUAAG
rnacentral:misc_RNA from 1 species